rnacentral:lncRNA from 1 species
GGAUUGAACUGCAACAACAACGAAUAUGGAGGUGCCUCCGUUCAACUUCACACCGGAGAGGUACUGGACGGAGGAGAAAGAGAGGGCGCUCAUUGCGUUUUUCUCCAAGCACAGCUGUCUAUGGAACCACAAGUCAGAGAGCUACAAGAACCGACAGCUGCGAUGGAAAACUCUGGAACACCUGAGGAUCCUUCUGUCAGCUCACCACCCACCGGUUCCUCUGACAGUGGAAGACAUUAAGAACAAGUUCAAGAACCUUCGUACCACCUUUCAGCGUCAGUACAAAAUGGUAAAAGCAAGCAAGGUGUGCAGGUCGGAUGACGUGUUCGUGCCUCAAUGGAAGCACUACCAGCAGCUGAUGUUCCUGCAGGGCUGCUGGGACCAGGAUGAAGGCCCUGAUGACCAGCCCAUCUCACCGCUGACUGUUCCACAGGAGGAGAGCCAGCCUGUCGUCUCCUCCCCGGGGCUGAUCAUCUCCUUCCUCCCCACCAUGUCCACAUCACCCACCUGCAUCCCCUCCAACAUGAUGGUUAAAUGUUACUGGACUGAAGAGAGGGAGCGUGCAUUAAUAGCGUUCUACUCCGAGCAUCACUGUCUCUGGAAGAAGAAGUCUGAAAACCACAACAACCGCCAGCUCAGACUAAGGCUCCUGGAGGCUCUGAGGAGCCAGCUGUCUGACUACUCAGUGUCUUUCUCAGUUGAAGACAUGAAGUGCAAGUUCAAGAACCUCCGGACGGUUUUCAACCGUGAAUACAAGGUGGUCCAGGCCAGCAAGGUUUCUGACAAACUCUACGUGUCCAAAUGGAAACACUACCAGCAGCUGCUCUUCCUCUGCGAGUCCUGCGACGAAGACGACAGCCUAGACGACCUGCAGACACUGAUGCCACAUGAAGUCAAGGAUAUGGAACAUGGAAACCAAACUCCCUCUUCCCCCCUGAGCAGCUUCUCCUCCAGCUCCACCCAAAUCAACAACAUCAAGUUCAAAAACCCCUCCCUUUCCUCCAGCGAAACCAAAACAAACACCAGCGCUGCAUACCAAAUCUUCCUCUCUGCGUUACCAGACAAUCUCAAACUAACCAGCCAAUCAACUGCUUCCACAUUCCCUGUGUCUCCGUCCAUUUCACUACCGGACACCAAACCUUGUACAAACCCCUCCCUUCUAAUCUCGGCUUCGGUUCAGCCCGACAGCAGAAUCAACACCGACUCCCGCUGCCAGUGGAACGAGGCCAAAGUGCAGCAGCUCAUAUCAUUUUACUCUGGGCACAGCUGUCUGUGGAACCACAAGUCAGACAGCUACAGGAACAGGCUGUUGAGACAGAGCCUGUUGGAGACGCUGAGCAGCCUUCUGUCUGACAGUGAAUCCGUCCCAUUCACAGUGGAAGACAUAAAGACAAAGUUCAGGAACCUGAGAACCAUCUUCCAACGUGAACACAAGGCGGUGAGCUCAAACAAAACCUGUGGUUCAGAAGACUUUUACCUUCCCAAGUGGAAACACUACCGCGAGCUGAUGUUCCUCUGCGACUCCUGCGAUGAGGACGAGCGGCAUGAAGACCUCCACUUCCACGAACCGCAGGAGUCUGCUCUCCUCCACCUGGAGAGCCAAGCCCUUACCAGCCAUUACCACAGCACCAACCAAUCUGCUACCAAACUGAUCAUCACAUCACAGAGGCUCAAAGCCCCUCCCUCGCCUACUCCCCCAGACUCCCAGCACUCCUCCCCCUCCUCAUCCCCCUCAACACCGUCCUCUCACGCUGACAGCAGAGUGUCAGGACACAAGCGAGCGAGCCGUCACGUCCCGCCCACCUCCAGCGAGCUUUUGGACCUCAUGAGGACGUUCUGUCAAAGCCAAAUGGUGUCAGAGCACGCAGGGUUUCUAAAGUACGUGGAUGAGUGUCUAAACGAGUCACCACCAGACAAAGUGAAGAGACUGAAGAAGAAGAUAAUCGAGACGAUACACAGCAUGUCGGAGGAGGUUUAGUGUUUCAGUUUUUUUUUUUUAUUAUUCCUAUAGCUUCCUAACAGCUAUGAUAACAUUACUCACCACCUGUCAUAUCAUUCUAUUGGACCUGGUUAGAAACCUUUAUAAGGUUCUAACAGGGUCAGCAUCUGUCUCCAAAACCCCCCAUUGAAGAGAAUGUUACAAUAAAGCCCUCUACACACAUUCAAUGGCAGAUUAGCUUCAGCUGUAGUUUGUCUGGGGAGAGAGCAAAGACACCAAACCUACCAAACCUUUCAGCAGCACUACCUUUGGGUUUUACACCUCACAGCUUCGCUCAAUUUCAUCUUUUGAUCUCGUACAAUAAUUUGAUAAUGUAAAAAUAUUUGGGGUCAUGUCCGUAUAUCGUACGAUACAUUUAUUAUCGUUACAGACAUACCUAUGAUGGAGAAAACGCUAAUGCAAUUUUUCAGAGUUCCUCAUACUGUAAAAUGGCACCUUAAAAUCACAACACAAAGGAAGGCUACAGCAGUCGCACAGGGCUACCAGAUGUGAGAUGCAGAUCCUAAAGUCUACUACAAACACCACCUUAAAAUGACACGACAAUCGUGAAUAUCAUUCACAGAAAUUAUAUUCAACCAUUUUUAUAUUUCUAGCAUAGAAAUGAUGGACAAACUGAAAUAAGACAGGUUGAAAAAAACUAAAGUCGUGUUUCCACCGCAUGGUACGGUUCACUCGACUCGAUUGGCCUCUCAAAAUUUCGUUUCCGAUAGUACCGCCUCAUUGUAGGCGGGAUGGUCAGCUGAUCUCCAUAACAACGCUGCUUCGAACUGCCGUGUAAACGGGAGACUCGCUGAAUUAUUUCAUAGCCAACCAAACAGAGGAACAUCUGCACUCUAUCAAUUGUAAGGCGAGGUGCAAGUGCGUCCCAUGUCUGAAAUAUGAUAUUAAAUAUAAUAUACACACAAUACACUCAACCCUCACUUGAUGCUCACUUUUUCAAAUAUCGCUUCAAAACGGUAUUCGGAGCUCAAUGUAUCCCACAAUUCACCACGGCCUACUACCAACACCACUCCAGUUUUAGGACUGACAGAACAGCUGGUUACACUUAACAAUCUGUUCAUCUAGAUGGGACUGAUAAUAAUAAUAAUAUUGUAUAUUUGACACUCAAGGUAAAUAUGAAAUAUUAUGUUCUAUCAAAUAUUAUGAGAGAUAUGUUUCGACCUUAAAAGUUUUAUCAGACACACUCCAUCAAAAUGUCUGACCUAUGUGCCUUUACUGCAUUUAAUGUCUUUAUUAAUUGUAUUGCUUGAUAUUUGAGUGAGUGAUGGGAUGUCUUUAUUAAUCAAGCGUGUCCCAAUGAGCUGUGAUAAACGUCCACACGCUGAUGGGCUUAAAGGGGCCUUGUGGAGUUUUCUUGUCACUAAACUCAUGUGUAUCCUUCAGGUCGAACAAACGUGUUGAAUGCACUUCCUCCUUUCAGUAUUCAUCUUUCCUGCCUUUGCUGACACAUUGCAGCAAAUAUUGGUGUAUUACCAGAUAACCAUAGGCAGGAAUGUGUAUCACGUCACCCACAUGCAUGUGCAUCCUCAUUGGAAUGCACCAGAUAAGCAAAACAUGGAGCCACUCAUAGAAAAAGUGUUCCACAGCGCUACUAGAGGUCAAAAACUCCACUUGGUACCUUAACAGGCACUUGGGCACUAUAGAAAUGACCAGAACUACAUCACAAAAGAAGGAACUCCAAUACUUGCGAAUACAGCAAAUGUAGGUAUUGCUAUAGACCCUAAAAAACGUUUACAGCUGCACAGUCUAUAGCCACUGUGAGACUAUAAUGCUCAUCACACGGCAGAAAAAAAGAACUUUGCUGUUCAUUUUAGGCUGUCGAGGUCAGCUCUACGUUGUCAGAGUUGGCUCAACUUCAGUGUAAACUGGUCUUUGUCUGGCUCAACUGGACAUUCAGCUAAUAACACUGCAUAAUAUUGACUUGCCAAAGGUAACAUCUUAAUGCAAACCAUAGCAUGUUAACAUGCAGAAGUUAUCAUCUCAGUCAUAAUAGAGGCGUCCUGUCACGAACCAAAGUUAGUGGAAGAAGAAAGGUAGGGAACCAAAGCCAUGUCAACUCAUUCUGGAAAACCUGCACUGUAAUAGAUAUAUAAUAAUAAUACAUUUUAUUUGUAUAGCGCUUUUAUAAAAACUCAAAGACGCUUGACAGUAAGUAAAAUAAAUAUAUGUGUGUAUAUAUAUAUAUAUAUAUAUAUAUAUAUAUACACAUGUGUGUAGAAUAGUAAUCAAAUGUAACAUUUAUGUUUGCUUGCCUUCAUUAUUUAACAUAUUGUGAUGUUAAUGGAUAAAUAACCUAUAACAUUUAGGUUCUGUAACUUUGCUGAGGCUCAGGAGGUAGAGUCCACCAAUUGGAGGGUCAAAGGUUCGAUCCCCAACCCCUGCAGUCAGCAUGUCGAAGUGUCUUUGGCAAAGAUACUGAACCCAACAAUGAUGGCCAACGGUGUGUGUGAAUGGGUAAAUGCUGACAUGUGUUGUAAAGCGCUUUGAAUGAUCGCAAAGAUUGGAAAACAGCUAUAUAAAAGCAGUCCAAUUACCACUUUAAAUAGUCUGAAGAAGUUACAUGUACCUCUUUUUUUUUGUAAACUUGUAGUGGUAUUACUAUUAUCUCAUUAUCUGCUGCACAGCUGUAAAAUAAUAUAUUUCAAGUGUAUAGGCCUGCAAAUAGCUAUCUUACACAAAACUGCAUGUAAUGACUUUUUUUUUUUUUCAUAUUUAUAUUUGAAUUAUUUGAUUGGUGUUUGUACAUGUUUCUUUAAAUUUGACUCAGUGCCUUAUCAGGAUCUGUGUAACUGUAAUCCAGUAAAUGUGCAGGAAAUUGUCUGAACGUCGGACUUAACAUGUAUAUUAUUAUUAAAUGUUCAUGUAUAAAAUAUAAUGACCAGCAGAAGAAGUGUAAUGUUUUUUGUAUUUUUUUCCCCCUCCAGUUUUCCUGGAAAACCUACACCGAUAAUCAUAUUUAUGUUGUGAGAUCAUCUUCACAAAUCACCACUACUUUCACCGGGGUUAAAGUUCACUGGUAUUAUUGAAAAUAAUAACUUUACAGGUCGCUUGACUCAUUAACUUAAAAUAAAAAUAAAAUACUGUGUAAUAACAUCGAAUUGAAAGGAAAGUGGGUACCUUCACUUCCUCACCAUAAAGCUUUUUGAUAAUGUAAAAUGCAUCUUCUGUAUUUGCAAUGAUAUUUUGAGCUGUCUUUAGGAAAAGUUUAAUGUAAUUCUUAUGCACACCUCUGGAUGGCGAGCUCGGAUAACAUACUACGUACUCUGCUGUCUCCUCUUCAGCACUGGCCUUCAGAAACAACAGCUCUGUGGUUGACAAAAUCUACUCUUAGUGAGUAGUGAGAGUACGUAUUAUACUGUACCAGUUGUGUGAGAGUUUGUAAAUGGCUGUUUGAUAUAGUUUUGCUGUUGUUAAAUUUUACAUUUACUUAAUUGAACAACAAUAUAACAAUAUAUGGGUUUAUCACUAUGACCUUUUACAUACAAUAAACCAUCUUAUCAUUUUUAAUGCUGAUGUUGAAUUGUCGAUUAUAGCCACUUUAAUGAAGUUGACCUGUAGACAGAAUGUGAUGUGUUCAAUAUAAUAGUUCAAGUGUCAUUAGACAAGGCAAGG